GCCUAUGGCCAUACCACCCUGAAAGCGCCCGAUCUCGUCUGAUCUGGAAGCUAAGCAGGGACGGGCUUGGUUAGUACCUGGAUGGGAGACCGCCUGGGAAUACAAGGUGUUGUAGGCU
rnacentral:rRNA from 1 species